rnacentral:rRNA from 1 species
AUGGUGGUAACGGGUAACGGGGUGUUAGGGCACGACACCGGAGAGGGAGCCUGAGAAACGGCUACCACAUCCAAGGAUGGCAGCAGGCGCGCAAAUUACCCAAUCCCGACACGGGGAGGUAGUGACAAUAAAUAACAAUACGGGGUUCUUUAGGAUCUCGUAAUUGGAAUGAGUACAAUUUAAAUCUCUUAACGAGGAACAAUUGGAGGGCAAGUCUGGUGCCAGCAGCCGCGGUAAUUCCAGCUCCAAUAGCGUAUAUUAAAGUUGUUGCAGUUAAAAAGCUCGUAGUUGAAUUUCGGGACCAAUUUGUUGGUCGUGCCUCGGUACGUACUGGUAUUAUUGGUUUCUCCCUUCUGAAGAACCUCGAUGCCAUUAAUUUGGUGUCGUGGGGAAUCAGGACUGUUACUUUGAAAAAAUUAGAGCGUUUAAAGCAGGCAUACGCUUGAAUACAUUAGCAUGGAAUAAUGAAAUAGGACGUUUGAUUCUAUUUUGUUGGUUUCUAGGAUCGACGUAAUGAUUAAUAGGGAUAGUUGGGGGCAUUAGUAUUCAAUUGUCAGAGGUGAAAUUCUUGGAUUUAUUGAAGACUAACUACUGCGAAAGCAUUUGCCAAGGAUGUUUUCAUUAAUCAAGAACGAAAGUUAGGGGAUCGAAGACGAUCAGAUACCGUCGUAGUCUUAACCAUAAACUAUGCCGA